rnacentral:tRNA from 1 species
GGAGAGGUGCCAGAGCGGUUGAAUGGGACGGUCUCGAAAACCGUUGUAGGGGCUUCCUCUACCGUGGGUUCGAAUCCCACCCUCUCCGCCA